ensembl:snoRNA
GGCCUCCUGAUGCUCACCACAGGCUGCGUUCUUACACGGACUGUGUGGAAGGAGGCGGUAGAGUAAACCCACCCCAUGUACACCUCAGCUCAGGCCCUGUGCCUGGUCUGUUCUGUGAAUGGGGGAACAUAG